UACGGGGGGGGCAAGCGUUGUUCGGAAUUACUGGGCGUAAAGGGCUCGUAGGCGGCCAACUAAGUCAGACGUGAAAUCCCUCGGCUUAACCGGGGAACUGCAUCUGAUACUGGAUGGCUUGAGUUCGGGAGAGGGAUGCGGAAUUCCAGGUGUAGCGGUGAAAUGCGUAGAUAUCUGGAGGAACACCGGAUGGCGAAGGCGAGCUCCUGGACCGACACUGACGCUGAGGCGCGAAAGCG
rnacentral:rRNA from 1 species